CUGCCGAUCAGGUAAUCGCUCUUAUAUUUCUCGAUUGAGAUUGUUCUUGACGUCGCCGUUUUGUAGUUGUAAGGAGUAAUGUCUUUUGCACGUAACUAUCGCUCACAAGGGGGCACCACUGGUGAAGAGUAUUGGCCCACCCUUGGUAGAAAUGACUUCAAAAACUUCCACAACUUCAACCACAGGAACAACAACAACUGGAACAGGAGCCGGACCAGUAGCUUUGCUAAGAAUUAUAACAAUUUCCCCAAUUUCCAGAAUUACGUGGGUGGUUAUAAGGAGCAUGCUGAUAAUUCUAAUUAUUUCAAGCCUGACAGUGCACCAUCGUUUAAGAGGAGAAAAUUUUCAGAUUCUACUUGGGGUGAUGGUGGGAGACAUUAUCUGCCACCCAACACAUAUGAGUUUGUCUCGUCUACCUGCAAUAAUUAUCUUCCUUAUGCAAGAUCACCCAACACAUAUGAGUUUGUCUCGUCUACCUGCAAUAAUUAUCUUCCUUAUGCAAGAUCCAAUGGUGAUGCCUCUGCAUCUACUACUGGUAAACGUGACCGCUCAAAAUUAGAUGAGGAUGAACUGCCCUUUAUGUCAAGGGAUGAGAUAGAGAGAUGCUCCCCGUCUAGAAAAGAUGGUAUAGAUUCAGUACGUGAAGCACACUUGCGCUACUCAUAUUGUUCUUACCUUCAGAAUCUUGGAUUGCGGCUUGACUUGCCCCAGACUACUAUCGCUACAGCAAUGGUUCUCUGCCAUCGGUUUUUUUCCCGGCGAUCACACGCUUGCCAUGAUAGAUUUUUGAUUGCUACUGCCGCUCUUUUCCUAGCUGCAAAGUCCGAGGAGACACCACGCCCUUUGAAUACUGUGUUGAGAAUGUCUUCUGAGAUUUCCCAUAAGCAGGAUAUCAGUUUCUUGUCCUAUAUGCUCCCCAUUGACUGGUUUGAGCAGUAUCGGGAACGGGUGACUGAGGCUGAGCAAAUGAUACUGACCACUCUAAAUUUUGAACUUGGUGUGCAGCAUCCAUAUGCACCGCUUACGUCUAUUCUUAACAAAUUAGGUCUCUCACAAACUGUUCUGGUGAAUCUGUCCUUAAGCUUGGUCAGUGAAGGGAUCUACACAAGAUUAGAGUUGAUCGCCUGUAUGAUAUUCUUAGCUGGCGGAUUGAUUUGCUGUUCAUGGAACUUUUGUUUUACUUCUGAAGUUGAACUGCCGAUAUUUUGUGGAUGAAUUUACCAUAAUAUUCCUCCAUCAUCUUGGUCAUUGGCUAUUGAAUAUAGCCAAUUAGCCUCCAUAGCCAUUUUCACAUCUUCAACUUACUGGUGGAAUUUAUUAAGAAAGAGUCCUGUCUUGCUUGCAAAAAUACAGUUUGUAAGACAGGCUUUUUGUGUGCUUGGUUUUGGAGGAAAACCAUUGACUAGGCUAGGAUUUUCAUAUUGUGAUUGGUAGUCCUUCCCGUCCCCAUAUGAAUCCUCCAAUGACUUUUUCUAGUUCCUGAUAACGAGGGGUUGACCUGAUAUCUAGGGGUUGCUUUAGGUUUAAAAGUAUGAUAUAUCAGUUUUGAGUAUCAGGGCUUGCAGUCUGAUUUCAGUUUCUACCAAACUCUUUCUGAUGGAAGUUUAGACCCUGGCCCAAAAAGUUGCAAAUUGUCAUAGAACUGUGGUCACUGAUGCAUGAGUCUCAGGAACUUGUGUAGGUAUUUGCCUGACGUAGAUGUCUUGAAAGUUUUCGAUGUUGUAUCCGUUUUUCCAUUACAGAAUGGAAUGGGCGACAUUAGCAUUUUGUAUAGUACCUGCCAUUCAUCUACCCCGUCUCCCUAAAGAAUAAAAGGAGAGAUUUAAUGCAACACGUGUGAAAUGAAAAUGAGGGAAAUUAGCACUGACAGUUUUCCUCAUUAAUUGGCAUUGAGAUGCAACUUAUUUUCCAAGAUUGGGAAUAGGAGCUCAGGAAAUAUAACAAAAUUUUGAAAGUCAUUUGAAUGCCAUAUCAUUUUACAUGAUUUUCGUAUCAUAAUCUUUUUGGUUUAACAUAUAUUUCUCAGGUAAUGAUUUGUCUGGAUCUGGAACCUGCCCAGAUAUUUAUCUGGGUCAAAACCUUGACUCAGAACUAUUUGCUUCCAUAUACUUGGUAUCAGAUAAUGUCAAUUUUCUAGUCCCAACUCCCGUGUAAUUGUUUUUACAGUUUUUAAUAAAUUUGAGGCCACUUCACAGUUAGUGUGCGCUAUUUUUGCUUUAAAAAUGUAUUUUAUCUUCUUUGAGUUUUCUCAAUUUUAAACUUUGUUUGAACGUUUGUUCAAGCGAUGGAUUUUGUUAGUUAUUUGUUCUGGAAAAAAAAGGAAAAAAAGGUUUUCUUGAAUAUUCUUUGUCAAAAUUUGUUAUUUUUGUGAAAUAUGUUUUAUAUAUUGUAACCGUAUCUUCAUUUAUUUGUAAAGAUCAGUUUGAUCUUAAUGCCACUAUUGUUGUUAUUUGUGAUGAAUAAUUUAUUAUUUUUAUUACUGGCACUAUGGACUCCUGGUCCUUCUGUUAGACGACUUUGUUUUACACAGAAGUACACAGCGGAAUAUUGCCUCACCAGCUAAUUGAAAAAAAAUCAUAUAUUAGUGAAGAAGAUAUUGGCAUAGACUUUUUAUAUCUCUCUUGGUUACAUCCAGGGAUGUUUUUGGUGUGGGGGAAAGGCUACCCAAAUCAUGGUACAAGUGUUGUAAGAUUAUGUUGCUAACUACAACCCGGAAAUCUUUUGAAAAGAGUAGAGGAGUCCUAAUAACUUAAGAUACAUGUACUUAUGUUUUGAACGUGCUUUUCUGUUCUCCGUCUCAUUAUUUAUUUAUUCUGAAACCUUAAUGUUGAUAUAACUUCCUGCUAGGUGAUUAAAAAGGUAAAAUCACAGUGAGACUAGACUCUGGAGGAAACAUCUUUUUCUCUAUAAAGUACCCCAGAAGAAUUGAUGGCAUCCAUCCCUGUAGUUGCUUGAAAAUUCCUACCAUUGUUAGAAUCCCGAGUUGUUGUAGGGGGCAUUCACCAUUUUUUGUAUUCCAAGGUCUCACCAAAGUUUUGCUUCAGUAGUUGAUGAUAUGAGAAAAGUAUACGUUAUAACUCAGAUGUACAUAUGUAUACUAUCUGGAACAGACUAUAGAUGGCAAUUCAGCUUCAUAUCAUGCCUGCAACAUGGGUGUGGUCGAUGAUUCUCGUCGGGAACUUAGUAGUUGGGUUAUUGUGCAUGCUCAAUGAGCAUCAAUGCAUGUGUUGGCAAGUCUGUCCAGAUCCAGCCAUUGAUCAGAAGAUUGUGGAUUUGCUUUCAGAAGUUUAAUUGUUUGCAAUGUCCUGCUUUUGCUUUCUAAUAUGAAUCAUGUAUUCGAGUAAAAUAGCCGUGCAGCAGAUUGGGGCCUGGGAAUUUUGGUGUCUCUAGAUGGGGUGUAUCAUAUUUGCUAUAGUUUUGGUACUCUUAUCAGCCAUCCUGCAGAGAUUGUGGAAAAUAUUCUACCUGACUUGCUGCUUUUGUAGUUGGUAAGAAAUUGACUUGUUAUUUCAUGCCUGAUUUGAUGUUUUGCUACCAAUUUUUUAUGCUAUAUGUUGCUGACGUACGUUCUAUCAAUGUGAUGAAAAAUAUGCUACAUUGCACUGAGAAUUGCCUGGUCUUUCUACUGUUGCCCCAGAUGGUUUGGUUUGAUGAUGUGCCUUUCUGCCUCUCCUAUCCCAUGGUGGUGGCUCGGUCUCAUACUUUCAGGAACUGAUUUUGUUUUUUCAUUUUAUUUUUCAGGCUUCGGAGUUCUCUGUGGCUCCAGUUCAAACCGCAUCAUAUUGCGGCAGGAGCUGCCUACCUUGCCGCAAAGUUUCUAAAUUUGGAUCUUGAUUCUUAUAAAAAUAUAUGGCAGGAAUUCCAAGCUACACCAGAUAUUCUUCAAGCCGUUGCUCAGCAGUUGAUGGAACUCUUCUAGAUGGAUGGAGCAUGUUGCUACGCUAGUUUCUGUGUAUAAAAUUCGGAUCGGGGAAAACAUACACGACUUUUACAGAGGUAUGGUGUGAGGAGACGAGGAGAAGCGCCAAGAUAUGAUACUUAUCGUGUCUCGCGACUGCUAUCCUCUUGAACCUCUUGAAGGCUUUAAUAUUAGUUUUGAAUGUUUUGUAACUUAACUAGGAGUACGCAUUUCGGAGUGGUAACGUACAUAUUAAUGACAAAAUGGCUACAACGUUUUUCUUA